UCCUUGUUGAUAAAAACACAACACAAUAGCCGGCGUGAGCGCGCACACGAGCACGCGUCCGCAAUGGGGAAACCUUGGUUACGUACAAAGACGAGCGCGAGCCGUCCACCUGCCGCGCGCAAAGCCUGGAUCAACAGGAGCCUCCAGGAGACCGAGAGUAGCAGGACAAAUCAGAAAAACUGGAUGCCUAUUAGUCUAUUCAGCAGGUUGUAGCGACAAGCUGAACAGGUGGUGUCUGGGAAAGAGGUGAUCACCGACAAUUUCCCUGGUCCUGUAGAGGCAAAAAGAGAUGGCGAUGUCGUCCAGGGAUGGCAGAGGCCAACUAGUCUUUUCAGCUGACCGCAUAACCCUCUGCAGCUGUUUCUUGUCAGGUGCUAUGCAGCCAGAAUACCACAUGUUGAUGGGGUGCGCCAGCAUACUCUCAAUGGCGUAACAGUAGAAGGUCACCAGCAGCCUCUACUCCAGUGUGUUCCCUCUCCUGAGUAUUUUCAGGAAGUGGAGUCAUUUGCGGGCCUUCCCCAUCACUGCUGCGGUGUUGGCUGAUGGGGAUAUGUCCUCGGAGAUGCGAGUCUCAGUGAAUUUAAGCCCUCUUUACUGUCACCGUCAGUAGGAUAAGGGGUAUAUAAAAUAACAUUUUAUAAAAAGGAAUCAAAAAUGAAAAUAUUAAUAAAAAUAUUCAAAUCAAAUACUUGUAUAAACAGCCUAAUUUAACUUUUCUUUACCCUGUAGGCCUACAAAUCACUAUCAUAACAACAUAUCACAAUCUUUAAACAUCAUCUUUUUUAUGAUCAACUAACUUACCCCAAGGGAAAAAUAAACAGUUAAAGAAAAAACAGAACUAAGGACAGAACAGGAAAAAAAAGAAACUUCCGUAUGUUAGACAUAUUUGGAUUCAUCUUAUUCGGAGUAGUAUAAAUAACUCAGUCUGAGUUGGGUAUUUAUUGUUAGGAGUUGAGAAUUUGAGCACACUUCUCUUCAGUCUUUGUUAGACAUCUUUUUCCUAGUCAUUUACCCAUUGAGUUUUUCUGUGUUCAGUUAUGUUUCUUUUUUUUUAGAGUAAGGAUAUCUGACCCUUGCACAUUAGUUUUUCACUGCUAAGUUUUUCGAAUAUCGCCAAAGGGGGUGGUAUAUAGGAGGCUGUUUGUCCUUAACUGUAAAUAUUAAAAUCAGAGGUAUAUUAUAUUAAUUUCUAAGUUCUUCAAAUGAAACUAGUUUGCCUUCCUUAUAUACACUGAACAAAAAUAUAAACACAAAUCUGUCUAAAUCUGCGUUAGUGAGCACUUUUGCUGAAAUAGUCUGUCUCACCACAUAGGUGUGGCAUAUCAAGAUGUUGAUUAGGCAGCAUGAAUAUUGCACAGGUGUGUCUUAUGGCCCCUCUGAAAUGUUCAGUUUUAUCACACAGCACGAUGCCACAGAUGUCGCAAGCUUUGAGGAAGCCUGCAAUUGGCAUCCUGACUGCAGGAACGUCCACCGGAGCUGUUGACUGUGAACUGAAUGUUUGUUUCUCUACCAUAAGCCAUCUCCUUCAGAGAAAUUGGCAGUACAUCCAACCUGCCUCACAACCGCAGACCACGUGCAACCACACCAGCCCAGGACCUCCACAUCCAGCAUGUUCCCUUCCAUGAUCCUCUAAGACCAGCCACCUGGACAGCUGCUGCAACAAUCGGAUUGCACAACCAAAGAAUUUCUCCAGAAACUGUCAGAAACUGUCUCAGGGAAGCUCAUCUGCAUGCUCGUCGUCCUCGCUGACUUGAGUGGGCUAAUGCUCACAUUCAAUGGUGUCUGGCACCUUGGAGAGGUGUUCUUUUCACAGAUGAAUCCCGGUUUUCGCUGUUCAGGGCAGACGGCAGACAGUGUGUGUGGCGUCGUGUGGUCGAUGUCACAUGUUGUGGAUGCAGUGGCCCAUGGUGGCAGUGGGGUUAUGGUAUGGGCAGGCCUAUGUUAUGGACAACGAACACAGGUGCGCUUCAUUGAUGGCAUUUUGAAUGCACAGAGAUACUGUGACGAGAUCCUGACUCACCCACGACCAUCACCUCAUGUUGCAGCAUGAUAAUGCACGGCCCCAUGUUGCAAGGAUCUGUACACAAUUCCCGGAAGCUGAAAACAUCCCAGUUCUCGCACAGCCAGCAUACUCAGCAGACAUGUCACCCCACUGAGCAUGUUUGGGAUGCUCUGGAUCGGCAGUUCCUGCCAAUAUCCAGCAACUUCUCACAGCCAUUAAAGAGGAGUGGACCAACAUUCCACAGGCCGCAAUCAACAACCUCAUCAGCUCUGCGCAAAGG